rnacentral:rRNA from 1 species
AUUGAACGCUGGCGGCAGGCUUAACACAUGCAAGUCGAGCGGAGUGAUGGUGCUUGCACUAUCACUUAGCGGCGGACGGGUGAGUAAUGCUUAGGAAUCUGCCUAUUAGUGGGGGACAACAUUUCGAAAGGAAUGCUAAUACCGCAUACGUCCUACGGGAGAAAGCAGGGGAUCUUCGGACCUUGCGCUAAUAGAUGAGCCUAAGUCGGAUUAGCUAGUUGGUGGGGUAAAGGCCUACCAAGGCGACGAUCUGUAGCGGGUCUGAGAGGAUGAUCCGCCACACUGGGACUGAGACACGGCCCAGACUCCUACGGGAGGCAGCAGUGGGGAAUAUUGGACAAUGGGCGCAAGCCUGGUCCAGCCAUGCCGCGUGUGUGAAGAAGGCCUUAUGGUUGUAAAGCACUUUAAGCGAGGAGGAGGCUACUGAAGUUAAUACCUUCAGAUAGUGGACGUUACUCGCAGAAUAAGCACCGGCUAACUCUGUGCCAGCAGCCGCGGUAAUACAGAGGGUGCAAGCGUUAAUCGGAUUUACUGGGCGUAAAGCGCGCGUAGGCGGCUAAUUAAGUCAAAUGUGAAAUCCCCGAGCUUAACUUGGGAAUUGCAUUCGAUACUGGUUAGCUAGAGUGUGGGAGAGGAUGGUAGAAUUCCAGGUGUAGCGGUGAAAUGCGUAGAGAUCUGGAGGAAUACCGAUGGCGAAGGCAGCCAUCUGGCCUAACACUGACGCUGAGGUGCGAAAGCAUGGGGAGCAAACAGGAUUAGAUACCCUGGUAGUCCAUGCCGUAAACGAUGUCUACUAGCCGUUGGGGCCUUUGAGGCUUUAGUGGCGCAGCUAACGCGAUAAGUAGACCGCCUGGGGAGUACGGUCGCAAGACUAAAACUCAAAUGAAUUGACGGGGGCCCGCACAAGCGGUGGAGCAUGUGGUUUAAUUCGAUGCAACGCGAAGAACCUUACCUGGCCUUGACAUAGUAAGAACUUUCCAGAGAUGGAUUGGUGCCUUCGGGAACUUACAUACAGGUGCUGCAUGGCUGUCGUCAGCUCGUGUCGUGAGAUGUUGGGUUAAGUCCCGCAACGAGCGCAACCCUUUUCCUUAUUUGCCAGCGAGUAAUGUCGGGAACUUUAAGGAUACUGCCAGUGACAAACUGGAGGAAGGCGGGGACGACGUCAAGUCAUCAUGGCCCUUACAGCCAGGGCUACACACGUGCUACAAUGGUCGGUACAAAGGGUUGCUACCUAGCGAUAGGAUGCUAAUCUCAAAAAGCCGAUCGUAGUCCGGAUUGGAGUCUGCAACUCGACUCCAUGAAGUCGGAAUCGCUAGUAAUCGCGGAUCAGAAUGCCGCGGUGAAUACGUUCCCGGGCCU